rnacentral:misc_RNA from 1 species
UUGCUGGCCUUAAAAAAAAAAAUGAAUCCCAUUCCAGGCAGUUCCUGAAACUCCAACCUCUGCGCUCUCGAUCUCUCCGCCCAACACUCCAACUUCACUGUUUAAAACGCUUCCGUUUCGAUCCUCGAGAGAAUCUCUCUUUGCGUUUCGAUCCUACUCAAUGCGUUUUCUCUAAUUCUCAAUUUUCUUCUCAUCUUCAGGAUUCUUGGCUAGGGAAAAAAAAGGGAUUUCCAAUUGCUUGAUUUUUUCACGAUCAUCUAAUCGUUGAAACAUGAGUGCUUAUUUAGUUGGCGUUCUCGUCCCUCUUGCCGUCACUCUUUUCUUUAGGAAUUCUAAGAAAAGUGAGAAGAAACGUGGCUUGCCGGUCGAUGUUGGUGGUGAACCUGGGAUUGCUAUACGGAACUCUCGGUUUCCGACGCCCUUAGAAACUGCCUGGGAGGGCGUCUUUACCCUUGCUGAGCUUUUUGAGUACGCCUGCAAGAGGCACGGGGAUAAAUACUUGCUAGGAACGCGGAGAUUGAUUGCAAGAGAGAACGAAGUGGCCCCUGAUGGGAGGACUUUUGAGAAGCUUCAUUUGGGCGAGUACGAGUGGCUUACUUAUGCCAAGGUGUUUGAAAAAGUUUGUAACUUUGCUUCUGGGUUGGCUCAUAUUGGGCAUAGAAGGGAAGAACGUGUUGCCAUAUUUGCUGAUACCAGAGCAGAAUGGUUUAUUGCGCUGCAGGGUUGCUUUAGGCGCAAUGUCACUGUGGUUACCAUUUAUGCAUCUUUAGGAGAGGACGCUUUGUGCCACUCAUUAAACGAGACAGAGGUUACAACUGUCAUAUGUGGGAACAAAGAAUUGAAGAAACUUGUGGACAUAAGUGGACAACUUGACACAGUGAAACGAUUGAUUUGUAUGGAUGAUGAAAUUCCAUCGAGUGCAUCAGUGGAGCAGAGUGGGCAAUGGACAAUCACUUCACUUUCUAAUGUGGAGAAACUUGGUCAAGAAAAUCCUGCUAAAGCUGACUUACCUCAAUCAGCUGAUAUUGCUGUAAUAAUGUACACAAGCGGAAGUACUGGGUUGCCCAAGGUUUGGAGCAUCUAUAAUAUGUUAUAGAUAUACUUUAUUAUAAGCUUGUGCAUGUUCACCUGAUUAAGUCUUGAUGGCUUCUCAUUGUUUUGUUGUUGAAUGGGGAGUAACUUGGACCAUUGCGUGAUUUUUGAAUGUACAGUUUGCAUGAUGUUUCUUUAGGUGGCCACAUCCAGGUAUUGUUGGCCUAGGCUCUACAAACUUAUCAUUAGAUGAUACCAUCUUGUUUUCCCAUUCCCUUCUCCUUCUGUUGGCUGUUAACUUUCUCAGAAAUCUAAUUGGUUGCAAAAAUAUGGUCCUAUCUCUUAUUCAAAUAUGUCUAUUUGCUAACUCAUGCUAGGAUGAGUUCAGGGAAAGAACUGUUAUGUUUUGCAUGAUCCUUUUUAAUCAUCUUCACAAAUUGGCACCUAGAUUUAUGUUCAUUCUGGAAGGACAUACCCGAAUUAAGGUUUGCUGUUGCCAGUUGCACAAAGUGUUUCAAAUUUCAUGAGCUGCUAAAGCUCAAGUGUAGUGUUCCUUAUGCAGUGCUCUUGCCAUUAGGAUCAUAGUUGUAUAUGUUGUUUAAAAUUUAUGGUGUGAGGAUAAAUAUCUUUUAUUUUUUUCUUAAAGAUCAAGCCGUACUGCAAAAUAAUUUUAUUUUUUUCGCUUGAAUUUGUCUACUGCUAAAUAUUUGAAAUUUUCACUAGUUAGUCAAGCUGUAUCAGAGUUGACAUAAUAUUUAUUUGCUUCCAUUGUGACAACCUUGCACAGGGUGUAAUGAUGACACAUGCAAAUGUCCUAGCUGUAGUUUCUUCAGUUAGGACAAUUGUUCCUGGCCUUGAGAGCAAUGAUGUUUAUCUGGCAUACCUGCCAUUGGCUCAUAUCCUUGAGUUAGCUGCUGAGAAUAUAGUAGCAGGUGUUGGAAGUGCUAUAGGAUAUGGAUCCCCUUUGACACUUACUGAUACAUCAAACAAGAUCAAAAGGGGAACAAAGGGGGAUGCCUCUGUCUUGAGGCCAACUGUGAUGGCAUCCGUCCCAGCAAUUCUUGAUCGUGUUCGAGAUGGUGUGCGCAAGAAGGUGGAUGCAACGGGUGGCCUCAGUAAGAAACUAUUUGACUUGGCAUAUGCCCGCCGGUUAUCUGCAUUGAAUGGUAGUUGGUUUGGAGCUUGGGGCCUAGAAAUGCUACUUUGGAACUUCCUUGUGUUUAGAAAGGUUCGAGCAGUUUUGGGAGGUCGUAUCCGUUUUUUGCUUUCUGGAGGUGCUCCUCUUUCUGGUGAUACUCAAAGAUUUAUCAACAUUUGCCUUGGGUUAGUAUGGCCUUAACAAAAUUUUAGCUAAUUUUUACACAUAAUAAGUGAAAAUCCCGGGAGAUUUAUGUAGUAUGAUGCUACACCCAAAAUUUCAUAUUUCCAUCCAUGAGUAUUAUUCAGGUCAAAAACAGGGUGAAUAUAAACUUGAUGCUGUAAAACUAUAAAUGAAGCCAACAGAUAAUUGCAGCAUAGCUUUUGAAAAUUAUGAUUGCAAAACUUGAACAUGGCAAACUUGGGGAUUCCUUCCUUUUUCCAAAUGAUUACUGUUGUGUGUGUGUGUGCGUUUGUACAAGUGGACAAUAGUGUAGAAUUGAGAAAUCUCAUUGGUUGUUUUGUCCAACACCUUUUCCACGAUGUUGAUAAAUCUCAUUAGGUGGAUUUUGAGCACCUUAGUCUAUUAUUUGCAAUUUGUUUAACAGUUGAAAAAGGGCUAGAUUCUUCUUAUAAAAAUGGAUAUUUAUAUUGACGAUGAACCACACCUUCCAAAAUAGUAUGAUGUCUAUUUAGAACUGAAACAUAAAACUAUAAUUUAUGUAUACAAAGCACCAUUUUUUUAUUUAAUUUCUUUCUAUAAAUAGUUUCAUUGGAUAAGUUCCAAAUCUUGUACGUUAGAAGCAUAGAAGAGUGUGUGUAAUGAAAAUUCUAUACAUAGGAGUAUUUCUGAUCCAUGCAAAGGAAAGAAAAUAUAACUUGGGUUCUUAUUGAGGCGAAGCCAAACCACUGGAAGGUUUUGGGGAAACUGAUGUAUAAUUUUAAUUUAACAUGCUCAAAAGAUUUUGAAAUUUCCGUAAUAAGAUCAUUGAGAUGAUAAACAUUUAUGCUUAAAUUAAUCAAGAAAAUAAAAGCCAUAUAUCCAUGAGUAGAUGAAAUUGUCCUCAUCAGUGUGAUGAAUGCAAUAAAAAUGAAGAUCCACAUGAUUAUCUUCCAAUUUUAUUUUGGUUUGGUGUUUUUCCUUUUUUGUGCUUCAGAGUUUUGUGAUGGUGAAUGUCAUACAGGGCUCCAAUAGGCCAAGGUUAUGGUCUUACUGAGACUUGUGCUGGCGGGACCUUUUCAGAGUUUGAUGAUUCAUCUGUUGGCCGAGUUGGUAAUCCAGUUCCUUCCUCAUUUAUUAAGGUGAGAAACAAUUAAAUUCAGUUAACUCUGCAAUUGACUUGACAAUUAUACCAGUUCAGACUGUCCUCAAAAUGUUUUUUUGUGAAUCACGAUAGGUAUUCAAGGGGAAUUAUUCCCAUAGUAGGCAUUUCACCUUUUAGUUUAUCUUUUUAAUUUGAAAAAACAAUGUGUGAGGAGUUACAGUUGCUAUCUGCAUCGUUUUAUGGAUUCUUAUGACCUUUUUUUUCCCCAUUUCUUUCUUUGUUCUAAAUCAUUCUCUGAGUUCAAACUCUUCAUUCUUGCCCAUGUGAUGCCAUGGUAUGAGACAUAGAGGAUGAGAUGAGGCUACUUAUUUACUUGGAAUUUUUACAAGCAUGUUUAAUACUUUAUAUGCAUAGCCUAGAGGCAUUAGUAGAUUUAGUUGAUUGGUAGAUGCAUAAUUAGAAAACUCUGAAAGUAUUAGACACUGAUAUUUGAACGAGGAUUUUUCUGGUGAUUGAAGAAGUUUCAGAAAGUUCUAAACUUCGCUAUUAGCAUAAUUUUCAAAUCUGAUCUUGUUAUUCUGAAAUUUGAAUUUCGACCUUAUUGCAUAUUUGUUGCUUAAAGCAUUCUUGUCAGUUAAUGGCUGCGUGUCUACAUGUUCAUGUAUGUUAACUUGAUGAAGAAAGGGCCAUCUUCCAUGGUAGGGUUCUUGGGAUUUAACUUUAUUUAUUUAUUUAUUUUGUUGAAAAUUGGGUAUAACUUUGAUUGUAAGCUUUUAUGAAUCCUCCUUAUGAUUUAAUUUUGUGCAUUCUAGAUGGUAAUUCUGAUUCUUACAUUGCUAAUUUUCACUUCUAUUAGGCAAAAAUGAAUCAUUUUGAAAUAUCAACCCGUUCUCUCUCUCUUUUAUGACUACUUUAUUCUCCCUAUUCUCUCAGCCAUGUAGCACUGCUUGACUGUAUCUUAAAGAUUAUUAAUGCUCUUGAUAUGAAGUCUUGUCAUGUGACACUUUCUGUGUGAGAUUUUGCCCAUAAUGAAUUAUACUUUUGUUUUUGAUAAUCUCAUAUCAUGAUUAUUGCAAUCAGCUGAUAUUUUUUUCUUCGGCAGUUAAUAGAUUGGCCUGAAGGUGGAUAUUUAACUAGUGAUUCACCAAUGCCACGUGGAGAAAUAGUUAUUGGCGGUCCUAAUGUAACAGUUGGCUAUUUCAAGAAUGAAGAGAAAACGAAGGAAGUGUACAAGGUAAAAUUUCAAAGUUUCAUAGUAGUCUAUAUUUUGUGCAGCCACAUGCUGAGGAAAAUGGCGUCAUGUUAAAUACGCCAAUUUUUUGUUGUGAAAAGGUUGAUGAGAGAGGAAUGAGGUGGUUCUACACAGGUGACAUUGGGCAGUUUCAUGCUGAUGGUUGCCUUGAGAUAGUUGACCGUAAAAAGGACAUAGUCAAACUUCAACAUGGUGAAUAUGUGUCUUUAGGAAAGGUAUGAAUAUUUGAAGUUAUAGUGAAACUUUUUCAUUGCAAUUUCUUUGGGACUGAUGUUUUCUCUACAGGUUGAGGCUGUUCUUACCGUGAGCCCAUAUGUUGACAACAUGAUGCUGCAUGCUGACCCAUUUCACAGUUACUGUGUGGCCCUCGUGGUGGCGUCACAACCUGCCCUGGAAGAGUGGGCUUCAAAACAGGGAAUUGCCUUUUCUGAUUUUGCAGACCUGUGUGAGAAAAAAGAAACAAUGAAGGAAGUGCAAGCAUCAUUCCUCAAGGAAGCAAAGAAGUCACGUUUGGAGAAGUUUGAGAUCCCAGCAAAAAUUAAAUUGCUUUCUAAUCCUUGGACUCCUGAGUCUGGCCUUGUCACUGCAGCUCUCAAGAUCAAGAGGGAAGCCAUUAGGAAGGCCUUCUCCGAAGAACUCUCCAAGUUAUAUGAAUCAUGAGUUACGAGAACAUGUAUUUUUUAUUAUGAUUGUGCAGAAUUUGAAGGACAAGUUACCCAUCAUUGUUCCUCCU